AUACUUACCUGGCGUAGAGGAUACCGUGAUCAUUAAGGCGGUUCCUCCAGGGUGAGGCUCCUCCAUUGCACUUCGGUAGAGCUGACCUCUGCGAAUAUCCCUAAUGUGGAUAUCUCGAACGUAUAAUUUUUGGUAGCCGGGACUGCGUUCGCGCUAUCCCGA
rfam:Trichomalopsis sarcophagae strain Alberta scaffold22948, whole genome shotgun sequence.